rnacentral:rRNA from 1 species
AGUGAACGCUGGCGGUAGGCCUAACACAUGCAAGUCGAACGGCAGCACAGUAAGAGCUUGCUCUUACGGGUGGCGAGUGGCGGACGGGUGAGGAAUACAUCGGAAUCUACUUUUUCGUGGGGGAUAACGUAGGGAAACUUACGCUAAUACCGCAUACGACCUACGGGUGAAAGCAGGGGAUCUUCGGACCUUGCGCGAUUGAAUGAGCCGGUGUCGGAUUAGCUAGUUGGCGGGGUAAAGGCCCACCAAGGCGACGAUGGGUAGCUGGCCUGAGAGGAGGAACGGCCACAUUGGGACUGAGAUACGGCCCAGACUCCUACGGGAGGCAGCAGUGGGGAAUAGUGCACAAUGGGCGGAAGCCGGAUGCAGCAACGCCGCGUGCGGGAUGACGGCCUUCGGGUUGUAAACAGCUUUCGCCUGUGACGAAGCGUGAGUGACGGUAAUGGGUAAAGAAGCACCGGCUAACUACGUG